AUCACGGCUCAUUUAAAAUGGAUAAACCGAAUUGUUCACUUCAUAACAAUACUUUACAAAGGUAGAAGAAACUAUUUCAUCGCUUCAAUAAACAGCAGACAUAACACUUUAUCUUCAUCAGUGAACUUCACACAGAAAUGGAUAGAAAUCAGAUGUAUAACAUAAACACAGGGGCGGAGUUAGAUGUAUCGGCACAGCGUCAUAGUUUGUCAACUGUAGAUGAUACUGAUUUAAGUUUACAACAAAAAAUGCAAGGCUCUUGGGAAAUUCAAAGACGAAUGUGGUGGCAAAAUAAUUGAACAGUUUGUUGGCCUAAGGCCUAAAAUAUAUAGUCUCAAAUAUGGAGACAAACAAGAAUCUCGAAAAGCAUAGGGCAUUAAGAAAUGUGUCAUAGAAAAACAAAUGAAACAUUCCAUGUAGAAUGUUAGAAAAAACAGUAUGCAUUACGGCAUCAAAUGAAUUUGAUAAGAAGUUAUGAUCAUCAGCUUAAUAGCAUUACUGUCAACAAAACAAGUCUCUCGCCAUUUGAUGACAAGCGCUAUUUUACCGGCAUAUGGCCAUUGUCAGAUAUUUAAGUAAUGAACCAUUUCAUACCAGUUGUAAUAAAAACCAUUAAUAUUUUUAACAAUGACUGACAAAGUGACAUGUGUUGACAUUGUUGUAAAUUCUUAUUCCAUGAUUUGUGUAUUUAAUUAUUUUGAGUGCAUCCUCCCCUCCCUCCCUCCCUCCAUGGGGUUGAGUGGGGAUGUGGUGGGGUUAGGGUGAGGAAGGUUGUUCUAUAUUACUUCAAAUUAUUUAAGAAACUAAGGUAGUACAUUUCAGUUAAUGAAUUGAUUGUUACAUAUCAUUUAUAGACUAUAGUAGAUUAUAAUAUAUCCUUUCUAAUUCAUUUAAAUGAAGUGGUUUUUGCAUAAUUAAAGUAUUUACAAUUAAGAUUAUUAAUAAAAUGAAUACUGUUCUAGCUUAUUAUUACUAUUAUUUGUUAUUAAAAAUGAAAACAAUUGUAGCUUAUUAUUAUCAUUAUUUGUAUAAACUAAUAGUUAUUAAAAUAAAGGUAUGAAAACCAUAUUCAUGUGUUAAUGAUAAAAAUAUGAACUUGAUUUUGAAAAUAAUUGUCAUCAGAAAUGUAACUUCUGAUAGGUAUUACUUAAGAUAUAUAGACAGAGUUGUCUUGUAUCUAUCCAUUAAACCAAAUCAGGUUAAAGUUUGAAAUGUAUAUGUUUAUGUAUAAAUAAAGUCCUAAGCGUUGAA